UCCCCAGUUUGUUCCCAGGUGGAAACAUCAAAAAUUGAAACGAUACAGAAAAGGUUAGCAUGGCCCCUGUGCAAGGGUGACAUGCAAAUUCGGCCCCCUGUGUCA
rfam:Tyto alba contig111675, whole genome shotgun sequence.